AUCACCUUAGCUCAACUGGCAGAGCAGCAGUCUCCAAAACUGAAGGUUGGGGGUUCAAGUCCCCCAGGUGGUG
rnacentral:tRNA from 1 species